CAAUAAGCAAAGUAAGGGCGUAUGGGGAAUGCCUAGGCUCUCAGAGACGACGAAGGACGUGAUAAGCUGCGAUAAGUUGCGGGGAUUGGCACAUACAAAUUGAUCCGCAAAUUUCCGAAUGGGGCAACCCAGCUAGUUGAAGACUAGUUACUCCGCAAGGAGGGUAAACCCGGAGAACUGAAACAUCUAAGUACCCGGAGGAAGAGAAAACAAUAGUGAUUUCGAUAGUAGCGGCGAGCGAAAUCGAAUUAGUCCAAACCAGUGUUGUUACGGCAAUACUGGGGUUGUAGGACCACAAUAUUUGAUGCACAAUGAAUUAGAACACUUUGGAAAGAGUGGCCAUAGACGGUGAUAGCCCGGUAUAAGUAAAGAGUGUUAUUGAUAGUGGUAUCCUGAGUAGUGCGGGGCACGUGAAACCCUGUAUGAAUCCGGCGGGACCAUCCGCCAAGACUAAAUACUCCUGAGAGACCGAUAGUGAACUAGUACCGUGAGGGAAAGGUGAAAAGAACCCUGAAUAAGGGAGUGAAAUAGAUCCUGAAACCAUACGCUUACAAGCGGUCGGAGCCAAUUUAUUGGUGACGGCGUGCCUUUUGCAUAAUGAGCCUACGAGUUACUGUUACUAGCAAGGUUAAAUUUUUAAGAAAUGGAGCCGUAGCGAAAGCGAGUCUGAAUAGGGCGACCAUAGUUAGUAGUAGUAGACGCGAAACCGUGUGAUCUACCCAUGGGCAGGGUGAAGCUUUGUUAAUCCAAAGUGGAGGCCCGAACCGAUAUACGUUGAAAAGUGUUCGGAUGACCUGUGGGUAGGGGUGAAAGGCCAAUCAAACUCGGAAAUAGCUCGUACUCCCCGAAAUGCAUUUAGGUGCAGCGUAUACAUAGUUUUAUAGAGGUAGAGCUACUGAUUGGAUGCGGGGGCUUCACCGCCUACCAAUUCCUGACAAACUCCGAAUGCUAUAAAAUGUUUGUAUGCAGUGAGGGCAUGGGUGCUAAGGUCCAUGUCCGAGAGGGAAAGAACCCAGACCAUCAGCUAAGGUCCCAAAAUGUAUGUUAAGUUGAAUAAACGAGGUUGGAUUGCCCAGACAGCUAGGAUGUUGGCUUGGAAGCAGCCAUUCAUUUAAAGAGUGCGUAACAGCUCACUAGUCGAGCGAUCCGGCAUGGAUAAUAAUCGGGCAUAAACAUACUACCGAAGCUAUGGACUAAUUUAUUAGUGGUAGGGGAGCAUUGUAGUGGCGUUGAAGGUGAACUGCGAGGUUUGCUGGAGUAGCUACAAAAGAAAAUGUAGGCAUAAGUAACGAUAAUGCGGGCGAGAAACCCGCACACCGAAAGACUAAGGUUUCCUCAGCUAUGCUAAUCAGCUGAGGGUUAGUCAGGACCUAAGGCGAACCCGAAAGGGGUAGUCGAUGGACAACAGGUUAAUAUUCCUGUACCUGCUCACGUUAAAAGUGACGGAGGCGAAUAGUUAGUGCGCACAGACGGAAUUGUGCGUUGAAGAGAGUGGUAACACCUCGAUAGUACACUAAGGCUACGGCUGCGGUGAUAAUCUAGCGAAUCGACUUCCAAGAAAAGCGAGUGAAGCAGCCUGUACCCUAAACCGACACAGGUAGUUGGGAUGAGAAUUCUAAGGUGCUCGAGAGAUUCAUGGCUAAGGAACUAGGCAAAAUCGACCCGUAACUUCGGGAGAAGGGUCGCCCAUCUUCGGAUGGGCCGCAGUGAAAAGAUCCAGGCGACUGUUUAUCAAAAACACAGGGCUAUGCUAAAUCGAAAGAUGAUGUAUAUGGCCUGACACCUGCCCGGUGCCGGAAGGUUAAGAGGAGGGGUUAGCUUCGGCGAAGCUCUGAAUUGAAGCCCCGGUAAACGGCGGCCGUAACUAUAACGGUCCUAAGGUAGCGAAAUUCCUUGUCGGGUAAGUUCCGACCUGCACGAAUGGUGCAACGAUCUGGAUACUGUCUCAGCCAUGAGCUCGGUGAAAUUGUAGUAACGGUGAAGAUGCCGUUUACCCGCUGUGGGACGAAAAGACCCCGUGAACCUUUACUAUAGCUUAGUAUUGACUUUGGAUAAGUAAUGUGUAGGAUAGGUGGGAGACUUCGACCUAGCGUCGCCAGGCGUUAGUGAGUCAUUGUUGAAAUACCACCCUUUACUUGUCUGAAGCCUAAUCCCUAACGGGAGACAGUGCUUGGUGGGUAGUUUGACUGGGGUGGUCGCCUCCAAAAGAGUAACGGAGGCUUCUAAAGGUUCCCUCAAUACGGUUGGCAAUCGUGUGUAGAGUGCAAUGGCAUAAGGGAGCUUGACUGAGAGACCUACAAGUCGAUCAGGUACGAAAGUAGAGCAUAGUGAUCCGGUGGUUCCGCAUGGAAGGGCCAUCGCUCAAAGGAUAAAAGGUACUCCGGGGAUAACAGGCUGAUCUCCCCCAAGAGCUCACAUCGACGGGGGGGUUUGGCACCUCGAUGUCGGCUCGUCACAUCCUGGGGCUGGAGAAGGUCCCAAGGGUUGGGCUGUUCGCCCAUUAAAGUGGCACGCGAGCUGGGUUCAGAACGUCGUGAGACAGUUCGGUCUCUAUCUACAGUGGGCGUUAGAAAUUUGAGUGGAUCUGUUCCUAGUACGAGAGGACCGGAAUGGACUGACCUCUGGUGUACCAGUUGUUCCGCCAGGAGCAUUGCUGGGUAGCUACGUCGGGAAGGGAUAAGCGCUGAAAGCAUAUAAGCGCGAAACCCACCACAAGAUGAGAUUUCUUUAAAGGGUCGUGGGAGACUACCACGUUGAUAGGUCAUAGGUGUAAGAGCAGUAAUGUUUGUAGCCGAGUGAUACUAAUAACCCGUAUAGCUUAUGUAC
rnacentral:rRNA from 1 species